CAACACAUCCCGUUUGAUUGAUGGAGAAACUACCCAGGAUGUCUGCCGAGUUACGGAUCUCUUCUUCCCUUUUCCUUCAAUGUCCUCGUGUAUGCCCAUGUGAGUGUGGGUGUAUUCACGAGGACACCCUUAAUUGCUGAUCCUGCCUGGUGUCUUCAACUUUUCUGUGGAUGGAAGGAACACUUGUGGAUCAAUUCCUGGCUGUCCCAGUCUUAAAGGAAGCAUUCUUUCGUCGGCGUCCCGAGCUCACAUCCGGAUUCUGCCCUAUGCUCCUACUGUCUGGCGAGGAACCAAGGAGUUGCCUAUGGCAGAAAACAAAAAUCUGUGAUUGUUCAUUAUACACACCGUAACUGCCUUUUUCAGGUGACGUUCCAAAUUGACGUUGGCCUCAUCCGUUUUCGGCUACAUCGGCACGGGGCCCGUCAUGGCCCCGCCAGAAAAACCUCGACUGGAAUCAAGGGCCGUGUUAUCUCGUCAAACACGUGUUCAGUCCGAAGUGAUCCAGUGGAUAUACAGGACGUCGGCAGCCUCCAGGCGACGCCUCAGUUGCCGCGGUAGGCGGAGGCCCUGUGCUCGUUGGUCAACGAGGAGCGGAUCGAUAUACGUUUCGAACGCGUCCGCCAUGAGCCUAUUGACUUUGUUCAAGAUCCGCGAGUUACCGCAGGACGAACUCGCGCUCCGUGGCCAAACAGUUUGGCAUAUACUGUUGUUGGACGAGAACACUUCCCGAUCCGGCUGCUGCACAAAGCGGCUGGACAUCUAUCCGACUCGGCCAGCACCCUGUGCGUCUUUUGCCUGCGUUUCAUCUGCACGAGAAUAUUGGGUGGGAAGUCGAAGCGGAGGGUCUGACUCUCCUCUUCAAAUUGCUACUCGUCCACUACAGGGGCGUCAUCGAUCAGACCAUUUCAGCAACCUGCAGAGCCAACAGCUUCCAGGGUUUUAGCUGAUGGGCUGGAUGCUAGUCAGCCACACCAGCCUGCUUAAGCAUUAUGAAUUCGGAGGAGAGCAGCGUGGACAAGGCACUGCUCCAGUUCUCCUCUUUUACGUUGACAACAACGCGCAAUAGAGUACCUGUCGUACGACUGCCGGCAACGUCAUCCUGGGCCGGCAGGGAGUCCUGAACUUCGUCACUCAGAUCGGUGGCAGUCUCCAGAAUUUGGCGCCCAACAUUUUAUAACUUGCCGGCCGCUUGGUGGACAAGCUCUGGCCGAGCGUCUUCAACUGGGACCCCCACUACGCUUAGAUUUCAUCGUCUAGCUCAUCACGCAGGCCAAGAAGCGGACGUCGAGCGUCGGCGGCAACAACAGCAGCGGCUUCGGCUCUUCUGGCCUCUCAGUCACUGGACAACAUGAACCGCUGUCUCAUCGAAGACAUUGUUUAGUCCACUCUUUUAGAUGUGACGUCCGAAUCCGGCGCAACGGCAGCGAAUCGUUGGUGACAGUCAAGUCCUAUUCUGUUCCACCCGGGGUAUAUAGAACAGCGAAUGAGGUGCAGAUGCAUUAGUACAUGAACCCGGGCCGAGGAGCCGCCCACUCGACGAGGGCUUCGUCUGUUUUUGGCUAUGGCACGGCGGCCCCAGUCGUGGCUCGUCUGGCGUCAAGGGCCGACUCAUCUUGUCGAGGACGCGCUUAUUAAUCUGCCCUCUACGCGUCCGUCAGUGCAACGGGCAAGCCCAGUCUCGUUUUCAGUUCGGUUGGAUUUAUCAAUCCCAUGUGCAGACUCUUGGGUGGGCGGGUCUAUAAAUGAUUCAGGUGAUUGAUCACGACAGCGGGGUCCAACUUGGUCCUAAUGAAGUGGGCGAAAUUUGCGUCCAAUCGACUUUCAUAUGAUGACCGAGUACCUCAACAAACCAGAAGAAACUGCCAAUUUUCUCAGAGACGGAUGGGCUCACACGGGAGAUAAAGGCUACUACGACGAUGAGGAGCACGUUUUUGUCAUCGGCCGAUACAAGGAGCUCAUCAAAUAUCGAAACAUCAAUGUUUUGCCGACUAAUGUCGAGAAGCACAUGAUGACCCAUCCGGCCAUCGAGGACGUGGCCGUUGUCGGUUUACCUCACGAGGAUGAUGGCGAAAUGCCGUUGGCGUUCGUCGAGAACAGCAAAGUCACGGCCGAGGAGUUGAUUUCUUUGACAAACGAGAAAGUCAUGGAAGAGGAGAAAUUGCGUGGUGGUGGGAUUAGAUUCAUCGAAAAAAAUCCCACGAAACGAUUUGCUGGUUAAAGUUGUGCGACCAGAGCUCGUGCAGUUAUUGAAAUUUAAACGUUUUUAGCACGCCAAGAAAUAAAACAACGCUACUUCAAAGAAAGUGUUCUUUAUGAUAUAAGCUUUUUAGGAAAUUCCACAAACUCUUUUCACCUUCAUUUUUUCAUCUGCAGAAAAUAUUCCUAAAAGUGUUCCGUUAUACCCAACAUUUAGGAAUGAGGGUUCGACAUGAUUGAGAUAACAUCGCGUUUUGAUUAGAUAAAGAGUUGCGAAGGAGAAAUUUAUUUCGUCCUACUUUUGAGGUUCCCACAUUGAAAUUUCCUAUUCAGUUGGUUUCCUUCCUCCAUCGAACCGAAAAUGCCAAUCGUCGACAGAGAGCUCAUCAGGCAGAGGAUUCCGUACGACGAAUCAACCAUCCGCAAAUUUCCGCUGGGCAUUUUCAUCGAAAAAGCGAUCCAGAAAAACGUAUUAGACGAGCAAGGCGAUGGCAAAUGGCUAAUCGAUGGAAUUGGAGGGGGAUUUUUAGCCAUAGUUUUCGCGAUCCAGCUGGCGUAAGCGGAGACUCGGGUAAACACGGCCGGAGCUUUGGGAUCAUUACAUUGAUUACUCUUGGAAAAGAAGCUGGCGAUACCAACUUGAAAUCCGCUAACAAUAAUCGGGCCACCUUCGUCAUCCUGGUUGAAACGAACAAGAAAUCAAACAAUUAAUGCUAAGUAAUAAGUGACCCAAAUUUAAAUCGUUAAAAUAGAAAUCAAACCGACCACACAGAUGGAGCCGGUUGAUCCGGCGGCACACAUCAUCGUAUUAGCGUCGAAUAAGUUGCCCCAUUUUUGGCCACAGUCUUGAAACAAUACAAAACAAAACUACGAUUGAAAAUGAUUAACCGUUAGAUGUUAGUCCCCAUCCAGCGAUUAUGGCAUUCGAGUUCUCGAAAGCACCAGAUUUCUCCAACUCUUUCUAAAUAUUGAAAAUGGAACGUUGAAAUACUUACGUAACCGGUACCGUUGACGGAGUAGUUUUCAUGGACGAUGAUUUUCGAAAUGUAAUUAGUGACAGAGUUUGUUCCCGCCUUACCAGCUACAAACAACGUAUUCAGAAACACCUUUGAAUUUAACAUCUCCAUCAUGUUCCCGCUGGAAGGUCUAACGAGAAACGCAGUGGGCCGCUGUCAAGACAUAGGAAGGGGCAAUUAAAGUCCCAGCGCAAGCACUUCUUGGGGACAGUACGCUUGCCUGAAAAACGAAAUAAUAAUAUAGUCAGAAUUUUUACAUUGACCAGCAGAAAAGGUCAUCUACUGUAUACCAUAAAUGGAUAUUGACCAGUUUGAGCGGUGAUUCCACCAAUGAUUCUCAGAUUUACUAUCAUACCUCCGGCAGUGUCGACGACGGAAUUUGAAAAAGCGGAUCCAAUCAGGAAAAGCAAGGUAGUAGUAGCCUAAUGUCAUUCAAGUCGACUGUUAACGUCAGCGCAGGAAUAGCGGUACAAUUGCAAAACAAAAACAACAACAAGUCAACAAUAACAACACAAUAAUAAUUACCCAAAU
rnacentral:lncRNA from 1 species